ACGGGUGCGUAACGCGUGGGAAUCUGCCCUUGGGUCUGGGAUAACAGUUGGAAACGACUGCUAAUACCGGAUGAUAUCGCGAGAUCAAAGAUUUAUCGCCCGAGGAUGAGCCCGCGUAGGAUUAGCUAGUUGGUGGGGUAAAGGCCUACCAAGGCGACGAUCCUUAGCUGGUCUGAGAGGAUGAUCAGCCACACUGGGACUGAGACACGGCCCAGACUCCUACGGGAGGCAGCAGUGGGGAAUAUUGGACAAUGGGCGAAAGCCUGAUCCAGCAAUGCCGCGUGAGUGAUGAAGGCCUUAGGGUUGUAAAGCUCUUUUACCCGGGAUGAUAAUGACAGUACCGGGAGAAUAAGCCCCGGCUAACUCCGUGCCAGCAGCCGCGGUAAUACGGAGGGGGCUAGCGUUGUUCGGAAUUACUGGGCGUAAAGCGCACGUAGGCGGCUUUGUAAGUCAGGGGUGAAAGCCUGGAGCUCAACUCCAGAACUGCCUUUGAGACUGCAUCGCUUGAAUCCGGGAGAGGUAAGUGGAAUUCCGAGUGUAGAGGUGAAAUUCGUAGA
rnacentral:rRNA from 1 species